rnacentral:misc_RNA from 1 species
GAAUUCUCAAAUCCAGGUUUCCCUUGGGUUUGGACUUUGGGAGUCUUUGCGGGCUUUUCCCUUCCCCUUCGAGGGGGAGGAGAAGGUCGGCUCUCCUGAAAUGCAUUAGCUCGUGGGUUGCGAUCCUCGCAUGGCACGGCCUCCUCGGCGUCGUAAUGAUCGUCGUGGGCUGGAAGUGUGACCGUGCUGCGAGCUUAUAAUCUCCGUGAGCUUCCUUCGGAAGCCCACUCCCGUGGU